AUUGAACGCUGGCGGCAGGCCUAACACAUGCAAGUCGAGCGAGCGGCGGACGGGUGAGUAAUGUAUGGGGACUGCCCGAUAGAGGGGGAUAACUCCUGGAAACGGUGGCUAAUACCGCAUACUGUCGGAUAACCCAUAUGGGAUUAGCUAGUAGGUAAGGUAAUGGCCUACCUAGGCGACGGUCCCUAGCUGGUCUGGGAGGAUGGUCAGCCACACUGGGACUGGGACACGGCCCAGACUCCUACGGAGGCAACAGUGGGGAAUCUUCCGCAAUGGGCGAAAGUCCGACGGAGCAACGCCGCGGGAGUGAGGACGGCCUUCGGGUUGUAAAGCUCUGUUAAUCGGGAGACGGUACCGGAAUAGAAAGCCACGGCUAACUACGUGCCAGCAGCCGCGGUAAUAC
rnacentral:rRNA from 1 species